UUCGCAUUGAAAAUGCGGAAGGUAAUAUUUUGAUUGCCGUGUAUUUGUAUGCGUGCGUGUUAUUCGCAUAAGUAAAAAAGUAUUAAACCGAAUCGCAUGACAUUUGGUGGGAUGAUUGGUUAUUAUCCAGGGACCAUUUGAUUAGAUUUUGGGAUCGAUCGGGUCAAAUGUCAAGGUCAAGGUCAUGGAAAGGUCAAAAUCUGUCUGAAUUGCAUGAAAUUAGGUGGGAUGAUUGGUUAUUAUCCGGGGACCAUUCGAUUAGAUUUUGUCAAUUUCUAUCCAAUUGGCAUGCAACUAAUGCCAAAAUGUUCAUAAUUUAAUGCCCAUUGUGAUAUGCGAAGGUUUGCGCUCUACACAGCAAAAUUGGUAGUGUUGAUUUCCCAGUGUCAAAUAUUUUGAGUUGAUCCGUGUUGAUUGUGGUGUUCUUUUAGCACUUACAGUGUUAAAACAGCUCUGGGGGCGGAGUUAUUGCGGCGAGUUAAGUGAUGCUCUCCUGACCGAGUUACUUGCACAUCCGGUUUCAACGCGCUCUUUCUUCUGGAAGUCACGGUGAAGAAAACCCGUGGUCAGGAAGAUAUUUAGCAGUUAUUUCAGAAGGUAAGUACACAUUAUAUUUACUUCUACAGGCUGUUCAUCUUCAUAUGAAAUGAUGUGUUAACUUCAAGUGUGGUGAGACGUGUUUUAUAUUUUAGUGAAGCUUGUGACUAAUAGCUAACUUAACGUUUGCUAACGUUAGUUGGUUGAAGGGAGGAGAAAUAAGCCAGGAAGUGUAACAUCAGUCUAUGUAUGAACCUGUUCAAACCGGCCGAGCAUAUUUAAUUCCAGGCCAAUAUAAUAAAUAUACUUUUUUUCUUUCAGUAAAUUUCUUGAAGAAUAUUUAACUUAAUUAUGCCACAUUAUUUUGCCAUCAGAAAUUCGACGAUCCACCAUGACAGGACAUAAACGAGAGUUUCCGGUACUUCUGCCUCGAGGGCUAGCUUUACUAACGGGAGUUUCGCGGUACUGCUGUGUCGAGGGCUAACGUUACUAACGGUAGUUUCGCGGUACUGCUGUCUCGCGCGCUAACAUUACUAACGGUAGUUUCGCGGUACUGCUGUGUCGAGGGCUAACGUUACUAACGGUAGUUUCGCGGUACAGCUGUGUCGAGGGCUAACGGUAGUUUCGCGGUACUGCUGUGUCGAGGGCUAACGUUACUAACGGUAGUUUCGCGGUACUGCUGUGUCGAGGGCUAACGUUACUAACGGUAGUUUCGCGGUACUGCUGUGUCGAGGGUUAACGUUAGUUUCGCGGAACUGCUGUCUCGCUGUCUUGCAUUUCACCGGCGUAUGGUUUAAUUGGCCGACUUUUAUCGCAGGCAUAUGCUAAACUGCGACAGGGACUAAAGAGGAAAAAGCGAGUGCCUAAUUGAUACCAAAACGUUUCUGCAAGAUAUCACCAUGCUGCUGAAGGUGAGAUACCAGAGUACCAAGAAGUACAUCCGAUUACAGCUAGGUUUCACCUAUUUGAAAUUCAUCACUGCAGGUGAGUAACAUAUUAUGUAAAAAACAAAUUAUUGCUGGUUUAACAACAAAUACACAAUGUUUAAGUGGCAUUGUUCAUAGGAUUGUUAUAAUCCUAAUGGGUUUUUAUUAUUUUACUUGUACUUGGUGCUGUCCGUCUUAUGGCGUGAAUAGUCUACUUCUUGCUGCAGGCCUUUUAUUUUUUUAUUUUGACAUUCUAAAUACAGCAAACAUUGACAAUUAUGUAGCUUCUACCUCUCAUUGUUACUUUGUUUAAAUUCCAUAUCUGGAUUAUCUUGGUUGCUUGGCUACACAUUCAAGUCUUGCCACAACUGGAAAACAGGUCGUCUGCUAUUGCAGCUAUACACAACAGUAGAUAACUGAUGGUGUUUUUAGUUUUCAACUUGCUUCUGAAAGUUAUUGUUUUUUGUACAGUAAUGGCGACAACACAACAUUGUAAUACUGCUGUUAAGUCAAAGCAUGUAAUUUCAGAUAUGUUAUAUAGAUAAUAUGGUUGAUCAGUCAUUAUGUGCAGUUAAAACCUGUUUUUUAUCUUUAUGUUGUCAUGCUUUUCAUCCUGUAGUCAAAACAAAUUUGGACUCCAUGAUGCAGCUGAACUUCACAUAUUUGAUGAAACUGACACUGCAGUGGAGGAAGACAUUCUUCUUGAACUGAUAAGAGUCCAAUCCAGACCUUUGCCUGAUCGUGCGUGACAGCAUUUCAGAUAAAGAUCAUUCAACACCAUCUUCUCUCACGGAUACAUGACGCUUUCUUCAAGUGACAAUGACCUCUCCGGUCAAAGACAAAGGGGGAUUUUGAGCUCUGAGGUCAUGGACAGGUCUACAAAAAAGGUUUCGGAUUCAGAGGCUGCAAAAGAGUAGAUGGUAGAAAAUGCCUUGCUCACCAAACCUGGAGGUGAAGAUGUCCUUGAAGAGUACAAGUCAGGAAAUUCGCUGAAGCACCGCACCCGUAGACAGCUUGUCAACAUAUUGGCCAUAUGACUGAAAUGGAUGGCUGAAUCAAGACUUCACACUGCUGUUUGGUGCUGAGACGGCUUCCAAGAUGCUCGAGAAGUGGGAUACAGCAUUCAAGCCCACGGUCAUCAAAGAGGCCAAACACCUGACUCCGUCAACUGAGCUGUGCCAACUUCUGACAGCUGCAGAGAACCUUCCAGAAGAUGAUCAUACGGACUGAGACAGUGACAUGGCUUCUCUGCUGCUGCUUCUCCAUCUCUUGCCACCCACAGCUGGACGGAAGAGGAUCAAAAUAAGUCCCAGUGAUGCAGUGGGAAAAAUGUUGCAUUGUCACAAGUCAUGCUGCAGCAUCAGUGAACACCUGCUGGGAAGAGAGGCUAAACAACCGGACCUCCUUGCUGUUGGCCGAAACAAAAACAGAAUCGAUGCCUUCUCCAUCGUUGUGGAUAAACGGCUCAUCCCCUGCCAAGCUACGAGCUUGUUGGGUGCUUUUGAUGAACUAUUUAAAUCCCACUACGUGUUCAACCUGUCUUACGAUGAAACUUUGGUCCCACUCUUCACCUUUGUGCAGACAACAGUCUACAACAUCGAUAUUACAACAACAGAUCAGUCUCCAAGAGUACGUGAGUUCUGGGCGAAGGUCUUGCACGUGGUUUAAAAAUGAAGUGUUUCAUUUGUGGUGUUGUACAUGCGGCCUGCCAGGAGUUGAUUUUUGUAAAUGUGCAUGAUGGUGCUUUGAAGAUAUUUUCUGAAUAAAAUAAAAAGAAUUGUAUCAAUAA